CUCGUUCCGGUAGUGUGAGGUCCGAAGCGUGGGUUAGUCACGAGGAACCCGGUGAAAAUCCGGGACGGUCGCGCCACUGUGAGCCAAUCCAGGCAAGUCAGGAACUCGUCCCACGCCCCGUCGCGGA
rnacentral:ncRNA from 2 species